UACGUAGGGGGCAAGCGUUGUCCGGAUUUAUUGGGCGUAAAGAGCGUGUAGGCGGUCAGGUAGGUCCGUUGUGAAAACUCGAGGCUCAACCCCGGGACUGCGUCCGAUACUUCCGAGCUGGAGGUAGGUAGGGGAGAUCGGAAUUCCUGGUGUAGCGGUGAAAUGCGCAGAUAUCAGGAGGAACACCGGUGGCGAAGGCGGAUCUCUGGGCCUUACCUGACGCUGAGGCGCGAAAGCUAGGGGAGCGAACAGG
rnacentral:rRNA from 1 species